rnacentral:rRNA from 1 species
GCAGUCGAGCGGACAGAUGGGAGCUUGCUCCCUGAUGUUAGCGGCGGACGGGUGAGUAACACGUGGGUAACCUGCCUGUAAGACUGGGAUAACUCCGGGAAACCGGGGCUAAUACCGGAUGGUUGUUUGAACCGCAUGGUUCAAACAUAAAAGGUGGCUUCGGCUACCACUUACAGAUGGACCCGCGGCGCAUUAGCUAGUUGGUGAGGUAACGGCUCACCAAGGCAACGAUGCGUAGCCGACCUGAGAGGGUGAUCGGCCACACUGGGACUGAGACACGGCCCAGACUCCUACGGGAGGCAGCAGUAGGGAAUCUUCCGCAAUGGACGAAAGUCUGACGGAGCAACGCCGCGUGAGUGAUGAAGGUUUUCGGAUCGUAAAGCUCUGUUGUUAGGGAAGAACAAGUACCGUUCGAAUAGGGCGGUACCUUGACGGUACCUAACCAGAAAGCCACGGCUAACUACGUGCCAGCAGCCGCGGUAAUACGUAGGUGGCAAGCGUUGUCCGGAAUUAUUGGGCGUAAAGGGCUCGCAGGCGGUUUCUUAAGUCUGAUGUGAAAGCCCCCGGCUCAACCGGGGAGGGUCAUUGGAAACUGGGGAACUUGAGUGCAGAAGAGGAGAGUGGAAUUCCACGUGUAGCGGUGAAAUGCGUAGAGAUGUGGAGGAACACCAGUGGCGAAGGCGACUCUCUGGUCUGUAACUGACGCUGAGGAGCGAAAGCGUGGGGAGCGAACAGGAUUAGAUACCCUGGUAGUCCACGCCGUAAACGAUGAGUGCUAAGUGUUAGGGGGUUUCCGCCCCUUAGUGCUGCAGCUAACGCAUUAAGCACUCCGCCUGGGGAGUACGGUCGCAAGACUGAAAC